GGCAGUAUUGGGGGCAGUAUACAGUAUUACUAUGCUGCUGGCAGUAUACAGUAUUACUAUGCUGCUGGCAGUAUACAGUAUUACUAUGCUGCUGGCAGUAUACAGUAUUACUAUGCUGCUGGCAGUAUUUGGGGGGCAGUAUACAGUAUUACUAUGCUGCUGGCAGUAUACAGUAUUACUAUGCUGCUGGCAGUAUACAGUAUUACUAUGCUGCUGGCAGUAUACAGUAUUACUAUGCUGCUGGCAGUAUUUGGGGGGCAGUAUACAGUAUUACUACGCUGCUGGCAGUAUUGGGGGGGCAGUAUACAGUAUUACUACGCUGCUGGCAGUAUGGGGGGCAGUAUACAGUAUUACUACGCUGCUGGCAGUAUUGGGGGGCAGUAUACAGUAUUACUACGCUGCUGGCAGUAUUGGGGGGCAGUAUACAGUAUUACUACGCUGCUGGCAGUAUUGGGGGGCAGUAUACAGUAUUACUACGCUGCUGGCAGUAUUGGGGGGCAGUAUACAGUAUUACUAUGCUGCUGGCAGUAUUGGGGGGCAGUAUACAGUAUUACUAUGCUGCUGGCAGUAUUGGGGGGCAGUAUACAGUAUUACUAUGCUGCUGGCAGUAUACAGUAUUACUAUGCUGCUGGCAGUAUUGGGGGGGCAGUAUACAGUAUUACUAUGCCGCUGGCAGUAUUUGGGGGGCAGUAUACAGUAUUACUAUGCCGCUGGCAGUAUUUGGGGGGCAGUAUACAGUAUUACUAUGCCGCUGGCAGUAUUGGGGCGGCAGUAUACAGUAUUACUAUGCCGCUGGCAGUAUUGGGGCGGCAGUAUACAGUAUUACUAUGCCGCUGGCAGUAUUGGGGGGGCAGUAUACAGUAUUACUAUGCCGCUGGCAGUAUUGGGGGGGCAGUAUACAGUAUUACUAUGCCGCUGGCAGUAUUGGGGGGCAGUAUACAGUAUUACUAUGCUGCUGGCAGUAUUGGGGGGGCAGUAUACAGUAUUACUAUGCUGCUGGCAGUAUUGGGGGGCAGUAUACAGUAUUACUAUGCUGCUGGCAGU